UACGUAGGGUGCGAGCGUUUGUCCGGAAUUACUGGGCGUAAAGAGCUCGUAGGUGGUUUGUCGCGUUGUCCGUGAAAACUCACAACUCAAUUGUGGGCGUGCGGGCGAUACGGGCAGACUGGAGUACUGCAGGGGAGACUGGAAUUCCUGGUGUAGCGGUGGAAUGCGCAGAUAUCAGGAGGAACACCGGUGGCGAAGGCGGGUCUCUGGGCAGUAACUGACGUG
rnacentral:rRNA from 1 species